GGGAUUAGAUACCCCACUAUGCUUAGCCUUAAACCUAGAUGUUGAAUUUACAAGCAACAUCCGCCAGGGUACUACAAGCGCUAGCUUAAAACCCAAAGGACUUGACGGUGUCUCAGACCCACCUAGAGGAGCCUGUUCUAGAACCGAUAAUCCCCGUUAAACCUCACCACCCCUUGUUUUCUCCGCCUAUAUACCGCCGUCGCAAGCUUACCCUGUGAAGGUCUAAUAGUAAGCAAAAUGGGUAAAUCCCAAAACGUCAGGUCGAGGUGUAGCUUACGAGGUGGGAAGAAAUGGGCUACAUUUUCUAUAUCAGAAUAAUACGAACAGCACCAUGAAAUUAGUGCUCGAAGGUGGAUUUAGUAGUAAAAAACAAAUAGAGAGUCUUUUUGAACCAGGCUCUGAGACGCGCACACACCGCCC
rnacentral:rRNA from 2 species